rnacentral:rRNA from 1 species
GAUGAACGCUGGCGGUAUGCUUAACACAUGCAAGUCGAACGGACUCUUCGGAGUUAGUGGCGGACGGGUGAGUAACGCGUGAGAAUCUGGCUUUGGGUUCGGGACAACCACUGGAAACGGUGGCUAAUACCGGAUGUGCCGAGAGGUAAAAGAGAAAUUGCCUGAAGAUGAGCUCGCGUCUGAUUAGCUAGUUGGUGAGGUAAAGGCUCACCAAGGCAGCGAUCAGUAGCUGGUCUGAGAGGAUGACCAGCCACACUGGGACUGAGACACGGCCCAGACUCCUACGGGAGGCAGCAGUGGGGAAUUUUCCGAAAUGGGCGAAAGCCUGACGGAGAACUACCGCGUGAGGGAAGAAGGCUCUUGGGUUGUAAACCUCUUUUCUUAGGGAAGAACAAAAUGACGGUACCUAAGGAAUCAGCAUCGGCUAACUCCGUG